GGCUCAGAGUGAACGCUGGCGGCGUGCUUAACACAUGCAAGUCGAACGAGAACGGAUUAUAGCUUGCUAUAAUUGUCAGCUAAGUGGCGCACGGGUGAGUAAUGUAUAGGUAAUAUGCCUCUUACUAAGGAUAACAAAUGGAAACGUUUGCUAAUACCUUAUACUCCUUAUUAACAGAAGUUAAUAAGGGAAAGAUUUAUUGGUAAGAGAUUAGCCUGUAUUGUAUCAGUUAGUUGGUGGGGUAAUGGCUUACCAAGACUAUGACACAUAACUGGUUUGAGAGGAUGAUCAGUCACACUGGAACUGAGACACGGUCCAGACUCCUACGGGAGGCAGCAGUGGGGAAUAUUGCACAAUGGACGGAAGUCUGAUGCAGCAACGCCGCGUGGAGGAUGACACAUUUCGGUGCGUAAACUCCUUUUAUAUGAGAAGAUAAUGACGGUAUUAUAUGAAUAAGCACCGGCUAACUCCGUG
rnacentral:rRNA from 1 species